UGGCUGCAGUCAAGAAUAUUCCUCAAUGCACGAAAGUGUGAAGGAGCGACACCGCGUGCCGGAUGAAGGCCUUCGGGUUGUAAACGGCUUUUAUAAGGGACGAACUAAUGACGGUACCUUAUGAAUAAGAGGUUGCUAACUCUGUGCCAGCAGCAGCGGUAAUACAGGGACCUCGAGCGUUAUCCGGAUUUAUUGGGCGUAAAGGGUCCGCAGGCGGUCCCGUCAGUCAUUUGUCAAAUCGUAAGGCUCAACCUUGCGGCUGCGAAUGAUACUGCGGUGACUAGAGAAUGGGAGAGGUGCACGGAAUGGCCGGUGUAGGGGUAAAAUCCGUUAAUAUCGGCUAGAACACCAAAUGCGAAGGCAGUGCACUUGAACAUUUCUGACGCUCAUGGACGAAAGCGUGGGUAGCGAAAGGGAUUAGAUACCCUAGUAGUC
rnacentral:rRNA from 1 species